rnacentral:rRNA from 1 species
UACGUAGGGUGCAAGCGUUGUCCGGAAUUAUUGGGCGUAAAGAGCUCGUAGGCGGUUUGUCGCGUCUGCCGUGAAAGUCCGGGGCUCAACUCCGGAUCUGCGGUGGGUACGGGCAGACUAGAGUGUGGUAGGGGAGACUGGAAUUCCUGGUGUAGCGGUGAAAUGCGCAGAUAUCGGGAGGAACACCGGUGGCGAAGGCGGUUCUCUGGGCCUGUACUGACGGCUGAGGAGCGAAAGCGUGGGGAGCGAACAGG